AUUGAACGCUGGCGGAAUGCUUUACACAUGCAAGUCGAACGGUAGAGGGGGCAACCCCUUGAGAGUGGCGAACGGGUGAGUAAUAUAUCGGAACGUGCCCAGUCGUGGGGAUAACGUAGCGAAAGUUACGCUAAUACCGCAUACGAUCUAAGGAUGAAAGCGGGGGAUCGCAAGACCUCGCGCGAUUGGAGCGGCCGAUAUCAGAUUAGGUAGUUGGUGGGGUAAAGGCUCACCAAGCCAACGAUCUGUAGCUGGUCUGAGAGGACGACCAGCCACACUGGAACUGAGACACGGUCCAGACUCCUACGGGAGGCAGCAGUGGGGAAUUUUGGACAAUGGACGCAAGUCUGAUCCAGCCAUUCCGCGUGCAGGAUGAAGGCCCUCGGGUUGUAAACUGCUUUGUACGGAACGAAAAGGUUUCUCUUAAUACGAGGAGCUCAUGACGGUACCGUAAGAAUAAGCACCGGCUAACUACGUGCCAGCAGCCGCGGUAAAGUGACU
rnacentral:rRNA from 1 species